AUAGCCUGGUUGUCCUGGAGUCCCUCCCCUGUGGAUCGACGUCUGUGGCAGGCACAAAAGAAGGGUUUUUAAAGCACAGGACCUUCAAGAUGCUUGGGCGGGGGACAGAGAUAUCUGAAAUCUUGUGAAGUCAUCAGUCAAUUAUGAAGGCCAUCAAUCUUUGGACCCUUUCAGACAAGCAAUUUAUACUGGGCCUAUUGUGCAAGGCUUCCACCCCUGCUACAAUAUGCUGAAGCAUUAAAAGAAAAGGGAAAGGACUACAUAUCUCUUUCCAUACGUUUCAAAAGGGAAAGUCUAUGCUUGCAACACUGAUGUGCCUUUCACGGCUGAUGAAGAGCAGUUAUGUUCUGUAAGUAUUCAUACCAAAGUAUUAUAUAACUUGUGAGAAGCAGGUACAGUGGUACCUCAGGUUACAUACGCUUCAGGCUACAUAUGCUUCAG